rnacentral:rRNA from 1 species
GACGAACGCUGGCGGCGUGCCUAAUACAUGCAAGUAGAACGCUGAAGGAGGAGCUUGCUUCUCUGGAUGAGUUGCGAACGGGUGAGUAACGCGUAGGUAACCUGCCUGGUAGCGGGGGAUAACUAUUGGAAACGAUAGCUAAUACCGCAUGAUAGUAGAUGUUGCAUGACAUUUGCUUAAAAGGUGCAAUUGCAUCACUACCAGAUGGACCUGCGUUGUAUUAGCUAGUUGGUGAGGUAACGGCUCACCAAGGCGACGAUACAUAGCCGACCUGAGAGGGUGAUCGGCCACACUGGGACUGAGACACGGCCCAGACUCCUACGGGAGGCAGCAGUAGGGAAUCUUCGGCAAUGGGCGGAAGUCUGACCGAGCAACGCCGCGUGAGUGAAGAAGGUUUUCGGAUCGUAAAGCUCUGUUGUAAGAGAAGAACGAGUGUGAGAGUGGAAAGUUCACACUGUGACGGUAUCUUACCAGAAAGGGACGGCUAACUACGUG